rnacentral:rRNA from 1 species
UACGGGAGGCAGCAGUGGGGAAUAUUGCACAAUGGGCGCAAGCCUGAUGCAGCCAUGCCGCGUGUAUGAAGAAGGCCUUCGGGUUGUAAAGUACUUUCAGCAGUGAGGAAGGAGGUAUCGUUAAUAGCGGUAUCUUUUGACGUUAGCUGCAGAAGAAGCACCGGCUAACUCCGUGCCAGCAGCCGCGGUAAUACGGAGGGUGCGAGCGUUAAUCGGAAUUACUGGGCGUAAAGCGCAUGCAGGUGGUUUGUUAAGUCAGAUGUGAAAGCCCGGGGCUCAACCUCGGAAUUGCAUUUGAAACUGGCAGGCUAGAGUACUGUAGAGGGGGGUAGAAUUUCAGGUGUAGCGGUGAAAUGCGUAGAGAUCUGAAGGAAUACCGGUGGCGAAGGCGGCCCCCUGGACAGAUACUGACACUCAGAUGCGAAAGCGUGGGGAGCAAACAGGAUUAGAUACCCUGGUAGUCCACGCCGUAAACGAUGUCUACUUGGAGGUUGUGGCCUUGAGCCGUGGCUUUCGGAGCUAACGCGUUAAGUAGACCGCCUGGGGAGUACGGUCGCAAGAUUAAAACUCAAAUGAAUUGACGGGGGCCCGCACAAGCGGUGGAGCAUGUGGUUUAAUUCGAUGCAACGCGAAGAACCUUACCUACUCUUGACAUCCAGAGAACUUAGCAGAGAUGCUUUGGUGCCUUCGGGAACUCUGAGACAGGUGCUGCA